AACGAACGCUGGCGGCAGGCUUAACACAUGCAAGUCGAACGCACCUUUCGGGGUGAGUGGCAGACGGGUGAGUAACGCGUGGGAAUCUACCCUUCUCUACGGGAUAGCUCCGGGAAACUGGAAUUAAUACCGUAUACGUCCUGAGGGGGAAAGAUUUAUCGGGGAAGGAUGAGCCCGCGUUGGAUUAGCUAGUUGGUGGGGUAAAGGCCUACCAAGGCGACGAUCCAUAGCUGGUCUAAGAGGAUGAUCAGCCACAUUGGGACUGAGACACGGCCCAAACUCCUACGGGAGGCAGCAGUGGGGAAUAUUGGACAAUGGGCGCAAGCCUGAUCCAGCCAUGCCGCGUGAGUGAUGAAGGCCCUAGGGUUGUAAAGCUCUUUCAGGGGGGACGAUAAUGACGGUACCCACAGAAGAAGCCCCGGCUAACUUCGUG
rnacentral:rRNA from 1 species